UACGUAGGGUGCAAGCGUUGUCCGGAAUUAUUGGGCGUAAAGAGCUCGUAGGCGGUUUGUCGCGUCUGCUGUGAAAACUCGGGGCUUAACUCCGGGCCUGCAGUGGGUACGGGCAGACUAGAGUGCGGUAGGGGAGACUGGAAUUCCUGGUGUAGCGGUGAAAUGCGUAGAUAUCAGGAGGAACACCGGUGGCGAAGGCGGGUCUCUGGGCCGUAACUGACGCUGAGGAGCGAAAGCGUGGGGAGCGAACAGG
rnacentral:rRNA from 1 species